UUACACGGCCCAAGUGGGUAACGUCUUCAUCCUUUCUGUGAAGUUAAGCAGCCUCAAGCUCGGGUAGUACUCGGGUGGGUGACCACCGGGGAAGUCCGGGUGCUGUCUACU
rfam:Phytophthora nicotianae strain race 0 contig5525, whole genome shotgun sequence.